CAAGAUGUUAUCAUGAGUAAGCAUUUUCGCAUGAUUAAAGGUUUACCGGUGUAAGAUGGGGAUGCGUUCCAUUAGAUAGUAGGCGGGGUAACGGCCCACCUAGUCUUCGAUGGAUAGGGGUUCUGAGAGGAAGGUCCCCCACAUUGGAACUGAGACACGGUCCAAACUCCUACGGGAGGCAGCAGUGAGGAAUAUUGGUCAAUGGACGAGAGUCUGAACCAGCCAAGUAGCGUGAAGGAUGAAGGUUCUAUGGAUUGUAAACUUCUUUUAUACGGGAAUAAACGGAUCCACGUGUGGAUUUUUGCAUGUACCGUAUGAAUAAGGAUCGGCUAACUCCGUGCCAGCAGCCGCGGUAAUACGGAGGAUCCGAGCGUUAUCCGGAUUUAUUGGGUUUAAAGGGAGCGUAGAUGGGUUGUUAAGUCAGUUGUGAAAGUUUGCGGCUCAACCGUAAAAUUGCAAUUGAUACUGGCAGUCUUGAGUACAGUUGAGGUAGGCGGAAUUCGUGGUGUAGCGGUGAAAUGCUCCAGCAUAUCACGAAGAACUCCGAUUGCGAAGGCAGCUUACUAACCUGUAAC
rnacentral:rRNA from 1 species